rnacentral:rRNA from 1 species
UUCCCGGGCCUUGUACACACCGCCCGUCACACCACGAAAGUCGGCAAUACCCGAAGCCGGUGGCCUAACCCGCAAAGGAGGGAGCCGUCGAAGGUAGGGUCGAUGAUUGGGGUG